CCUACGGGUGGCAGCAGUGAGGAAUAUUGGUCAAUGGGCGUAAGCCUGAACCAGCCAAGUCGCGUGAGGGAUGAAGGUUCUAUGGAUCGUAAACCUCUUUUAUAAGGGAAUAAAGUGUGGGACGUGUCCUGUUUUGUAUGUACCUUAUGAAUAAGGAUCGGCUAACUCCGUGCCAGCAGCCGCGGUAAUACGGAGGAUCCGAGCGUUAUCCGGAUUUAUUGGGUUUAAAGGGUGCGUAGGCGGCCUGUUAAGUCAGCGGUGAAAGUCUGUGGCUCAACCAUAGAAUUGCGGUUGAAACUGGCAGCCUUGAGUACGUUAGAGGCAGGCGGAAUGCGUGGUGUAGCGGUGAAAUGCUUAGAUAUCACGCAGAACCCCGAUUGCGAAGGCAGCCUGCCAAGCCAUGACUGACGCUGAUGCACGAAAGCGUGGGGAUCAAACAGGAUUAGAUACCCCAGUAGUC
rnacentral:rRNA from 1 species